rnacentral:rRNA from 1 species
UUUCCGUAGGUGAACCUGCGGAAGGAUCAUUAAUUGUUCUUUUCAAGAGGCUCCGUAAAUCUGUAUACUCUACUGAGUGAUGAGCAGUAGGGCCUCUGUUUAGACCCUUGUCUUUUGCGCACUCAUGUUUCCUCGGCGGGCUUGCCCGUCGAUUGGACAAAACUAUAACCUUUUUUAAUUUUCAAUCAGCGUCUGAAAACUAUAUAAUAAUUACAACUUUCAACAACGGAUCUCUUGGUUCUGGCAUCGAUGAAGAACGCAGCGAAAUGCGAUAAGUAGUGUGAAUUGCAGAAUUCAGUGAAUCAUCGAAUCUUUGAACGCACAUUGCGCCCCUUGGUAUUCCAUGGGGCAUGCCUGUUCGAGCGUCAUUUGUACUCUCAAGCUCUGCUUGGUGUUGGGUGUUUGUCCUCUCCUUUUGCGUUUGGACUCGCCUUAAAACAAUUGGCAGCCAGUGUUUUGGUAUUGAAGCGCAGCACAAUUUGCGAUUUAAGCCCAUGAAUACUAGCGACCAGUAAGCAUUUUUAUAACGCUUGACCUCGGAUCAGGUAGGGAUACCCGCUGAACUUAA